CCUGUUUUGAGCUUCCCACUGCUGCUGGGGCUGCAGCCGGUCUCCGGGAUGAUGGACGAGCACUGACAGGGGAGCGGCAGGGGUGUAGAGGUGUCAAAGGUGCCACCUCCUCCAAGAUAACGGAUUUUGGGUUGAGAAGAUAGACUGUGAUACAAACAACAACCAUGAGGACAACAACAACAUCUCGACAACGACAGCAACAAAUGCCAUUUUCGAGGGCCUAAUUCCCGCCACACACUGUAGUGGAUGUCCUUGACCACCAGUCAAGGUCAAAUGAAACGGAAGUGGUCCGCCCCUUAAUUCAGUCAACAGAGGAGCACGCCACCUGGCCCUGGCCCCAAGCUCGGUCAGUGGAUGCUGCUGAGCAGACUACAGAUCCGUCACUGGGCGAGUCCUGAGCCAGCACAGCUGUCACGGGGAGGAGUGGCUCUGCGCCGCAGCCAUGGCGAGUUUAUCCUUGAGCAUGACAGCUGCCAAAACACACAGCCUGCCCGGAAUACCCAACGCUGUUUGUCCUGGUGCCGUUCCG
rnacentral:lncRNA from 1 species